UCUGGUGUUUGUCCUUCCCCAAGCACUGGCCGCUGUGACUGGCUAUCUUCCUCCUGGGUUGAGAAUAACUCCUGGCUGCAUGCAUCUAGGGAUUCCAGGUUGUCUUCCUCUGCCUCAGUACCCUUGCUCCCGCUUUCCUCCUCCCGCCUUGUUGAACUGGGCUCUGAAGUGUCCAUGGUGGUCCUCAGAGUGGAGGUGGGGUCGGCCCCAAGUAUUGCAUCCGGCUCUUUGUAGAAAUGGCAGGUCGUGGGGGCAGCACCGGAGCAGUGGUUUGCCUUGCGGGCUUUGUGGUCGGCAUUCCGCAACUCCUUCACUUUAAUUCUGCACUGCAGUGCACCUCUUGGUCAUGACCGCUGU